rnacentral:rRNA from 1 species
UACGUAGGUGGCGAGCGUUGUCCGGAUUUAUUGGGCGUAAAGCGCGCGCAGGCGGUUGCCUAAGUCUGCUGUGAAAUCUCCCGGCUCAACUGGGAGGGGGCGGCGGAGACUGGGUGACUGGAGGGACCUAGAGGCCGUGGAAUUCCCGGUGUAGUGGUGAAAUGCGUAGAGAUCGGGAAGAACACCGGUGGCGAAGGCGGGUCUGACUGGGGUAAUGCUGGACACUUGAUGCGCGACACGUGGGGAGCAAGCAGG